rnacentral:rRNA from 1 species
GUGGGGAAUAUUGGACAAUGGGCGCAAGCCUGAUCCAGCCAUGCCGCGUGAGUGAUGAAGGCCUUAGGGUUGUAAAGCUCUUUCAGUGGGGAAGAUAAUGACGGUACCCACAGAAGAAGCCCCGGCUAACUUCGUGCCAGCAGCCGCGGUAAUACGAAGGGGGCUAGCGUUGUUCGGAUUUACUGGGCGUAAAGCGCACGUAGGCGGAUCGUUAAGUCGGGGGUGAAAUCCCGGGGCUCAACCCCGGAACUGCCUUCGAUACUGGCGAUCUUGAGUCCGGAAGAGGUGAGUGGAACUCCUAGUGUAGAGGUGGAAUUCGUAGAUAUUAGGAAGAACACCAGUGGCGAAGGCGGCUCACUGGUCCGGUACUGACGCUGAGGUGCGAAAGCGUGGGGAGCAAACAGGAUUAGAUACCCGUGUAGUCC